CAGCCAAUUGUCACACAAUUAGUAUUAAGUUGAUGUUUGCGAUCGAACGUUUGACAUUUUUUGUAGUACAGACAAACUCGUAUAAAUUGUGUUACCAGAAACGAGUACUAAAUAUCGUUAUACAUUUAUGCUACCAUUUUGAACAACUUGUUUUAUGUGUAAACAAUACACGAUAAUUCUCAUUCAGUUAUCGAUAUUCAUUUAGUUAUCAAUUAAAAGUCUGAACUGAACUGAGAUCCUGUGGAAAUAUUAAAGUGUAAUCCUCCUAAUACAUAAUGCCGUAUCGUCCGAAAAAAUCGAAAAAGAGUGCAGCGCAGAUGGCAGCCUUCCGACGUAAUGCCCUGAACCGUUGGAAUUCCACAUCCUCAUCGGAUUCACAACAUGACGUGUCUCCAUGUUCUGAUUUGAGCUGUGAUGGUGUAGCAGUAACCAUUUUCCCAUUGAUUUUGCUAUCGCAAGCCUGUGAAGGUUGCGUGAUCACGGCAAGGAAAACAUCGACAAUUCUUCACAGUAUAAUACUCAGUUAGCCACUUCAAGCCCUUAAGAAAUCAUGCCACCGACAUCCGACUGCUGUCGCUGCAAAUAUCUCACGAAUCAUUUUUUAUAUCAGCUAAUGGAUUCUGUAAUGUUGGUUUUAAGGCAAUUGGAUUGGUAUAAAUGAUGUGCGA